CGGGUGAGUAACACGUGAGUAACCUGCCCCAGGCUUUGGGAUAACCCCGGGAAACCGGGGCUAAUACCGGAUAUGACCAUCUGUCGCAUGGUGGGUGGUGGAAAGAUUUUUUGGCUUGGGAUGGGCUCGCGGCCUAUCAGCUUGUUGGUGGGGUGAUGGCCUACCAAGGCGGCGACGGGUAGCCGGCCUGAGAGGGCGACCGGCCACACUGGGACUGAGACACGGUAAAAAACUCAUACGGGAGGCAGCAGUGGGGAAUCUUGCACAAUGGGCGGAAGCCUGAUGCAGCGACGCCGCGUGAGGGAUGACGGCCUUCGGGUUGUAAACCUCUUUCAGCAGGGACGAAGCGUUUGUGACGGUACCUGCAGAAGAAGCGCCGGCCAACUACGUGCCAGCAGCCGCGGUAAGACGUAGGGCGCAAGCGUUGUCCGGAUUUAUUGGGCGUAAAGAGCUCGUAGGCGGCUUGUCGCGUCGACUGUGAAAACCCGUGGCUCAACUGCGGGCUUGCAGUCGAUACGGGCAGGCUAGAGUUCGGUAGGGGAGACUGGAAUUCCUGGUGUAGCGGUGAAAUGCGCAGAUAUCAGGAGGAACACCGGUGGCGAAGGCGGGUCUCUGGGCCGAUACUGACGCUGAGGAGCGAAAGCGUGGGGAGCGAACAGGAUUAGAUACCCUGGUAGUCCACGCUGUAAACGUUGGGCGCUAGGUGUGGGGGGCCUCUCCGGGUUCUCUGUGCCGCAGCUAACGCAUUAAGCGCCCGCCUGGGGAGUACGGCCGCAAGGCUAAAACUCAAGGAAUUGACGGGGGCCCGCA
rnacentral:rRNA from 1 species